AGUCUCAAAUGUCGAAGCCUCAGCAGCCAAUAGUCCUCUCCGACGACGAAGAAGAAAAUGACCAGAAUGCCCUCUCCUCACCCCCUCCAUUCCAACCAUUCCACUGCUCUAAUAAGAAACGCCGAACCGGACUCUACCCCUACCCAAACCUCAAUACUCAGACUCCGGUUCUCGUCCUUGACGACGACGACGACGCGACCAGACCGACACGGAAGCCACCGGGCCCCACCUCAUCCCGCUACUUCGAGGUCCUUGACAGUCUCCAUGCUCAAAAGCCCCUUCCGACUCCCAAGCUAGCGUUUCACAUUCCCCGCCCAAGUUCUCCGGCAUUAAUGACUUGGUAUUUCUGGAAUCCGAUAAUGAGUCUGAAAGUAGUUCUGGAAGGGAAAGGGGGAAGGAUAACAAAUCAAUUUCUAGUGGUUUUGGUGUGGCAAAGGGCUUAGAUUGGAGUUCCAGAUUUGUUGAAUCCACAUCUUCUCUUGGACAUGACAAUCUAGCACAUAUGUCUGAGGACUGUUCUACGCAACCUAUUUCUUUGCAAGAUGAUUUUGAUAUUAAUCAGGUACUUGAUUAUCCUGCUGACAAAGAAAAUAGAAUGGAUCAGAUGGGCAACAUUGUGAAACAGAGAAGAAAAACUAAAGCUAUUACUGAAAAAAGUAUUAGAGACGAAGCAAUGGGUACAAGGAAGAUGGCGAAAGAGGAAAGGAUACGCCUAAUGGAAGAAAAGAAUCUAAAGAAGCAACAAGAGAGGUUGCAAAGAGCAGCUCUGAAAGCUGAAGCAGCAGAGAUGAAAAAGAUUCAGAAAGAACAACAAAAGUGGGAAAAAGGAAAGUUUGCUGUGAAAUCCAUAGUGGCUGAGAUUGACAUUAAAGUAGUGGAAUUGGGGUCAGUUGGAGGAAAUCUGCUCACAAGGUUUGCUGAAAGAGGGAUAACAUACCGUAUAACAUCAAAUCCAAUUGAAAGAUCAAUUGUCUGGACCAUGACUGUUCCAGAACAUAUUUCACAGAGUUCUCCUGAACGAAUAGAGAUUCAAUAUGUAUUGCUCGUGUAUGAAGCUGAAGAAUUUUGCAACCUUGUCAUCAAUGAAUCUCUUUUGGACCAUGUUUUUAGUGUUCGAAGUUGUUAUCCAUCCUAUACAGUGUGUUAUCUUACAAAUAGGUUGAUGGCAUAUAUUAAUAAAAGGGAACAAGAAGUGUACAAGAACCUAACAAAGGAUAAUGAUUGGAGACGCCCGCCUGUUGAGGAGGUGCUGGCAAAAUUGACCACUAAUUUUUUUAAAGUACAUUCCAGGCAGUGCAUAGAUGAGGCUGAACUUGCUGAACACAUUGUUGGUUUGACGUGCAGCCUCUCAUCCUGCCAAUUUAGAAAGAAGUUAACGAGACUGGACGUAAAUGCUAACGGCCCUCUUAUGAUUAAGGACUGUGUUGACCGGAAUAUAAUUAAUAAGUGCACGUGGUUAAAAGCUUUGGUAGCUAUCCCAAAGGUACAGCCACGGUUUGCUAUUGCUAUAUGGAAGAAGUACCCUACCAUGAAAUCUCUGUUGAGUGUUUACAUGGAUCAAAAUGUAUCGGUUCAUCAAAAGGAAUUUCUGCUGAAGGACUUGAUAACUGAAGGUUUACUUCGUGAUGACAGAAGAGUGGGUGAGGUUUGUUCCAAGAGAGUGUACAGAAUACUUGUGGCACAAAGUGGAUCCAUUAAAACUGAUGAUGUUGAGGAUGGUGCUGAUUUGUUUAGGCGUCAACUGGCGUAAAUAACUCCAGAUUUGUCUAUUACUUGUAUUCUGCAGUAGCGCUCUGAUUCCUUUUUGGUAAAUGUUAUUUUCA